AACUACCACUCAGGGCCGGAAAGCUCUCCAAACUCGGUCAUUUAGAGGAAGUAAAAGUCGUAACAAGGUCUCCGUUGGUGAACCAGCGGAGGGAUCAUUACCGAGUUUACAACUCCCAAACCCAAUGUGAACCAUACCAAACUGUUGCCUCGGCGGGGUCACGCCCCGGGUGCGUCGCAGCCCCGGAACCAGGCGCCCGCCGGAGGGACCAACCAAACUCUUUCUGUAGUCCCCUCGCGGACGUUAUUUCUUACAGCUCUGAGCAAAAAUUCAAAAUGAAUCAAAACUUUCAACAACGGAUCUCUUGGUUCUGGCAUCGAUGAAGAACGCAGCGAAAUGCGAUAAGUAAUGUGAAUUGCAGAAUUCAGUGAAUCAUCGAAUCUUUGAACGCACAUUGCGCCCGCCAGUAUUCUGGCGGGCAUGCCUGUCCGAGCGUCAUUUCAACCCUCGAACCCCUCCGGGGGGUCGGCGUUGGGGAUCGGGAACCCCUAAGACGGGAUCCCGGCCCCGAAAUACAGUGGCGGUCUCGCCGCAGCCUCUCAUGCGCAGUAGUUUGCACAACUCGCACCGGGAGCGCGGCGCGUCCACGUCCGUAAAACACCCAACUUCUGAAAUGUUGACCUCGGAUCAGGUAGGAAUACCCGCUGAACUUAAGCAUAUCAAUAAGCGGAGGAAAAGAAACCAACAGGGAUUGCCCCAGUAACGGCGAGUGAAGCGGCAACAGCUCAAAUUUGAAAUCUGGCCCCUAGGGUCCGAGUUGUAAUUUGUAGAGGAUGCUUUUGGUGAGGUGCCGCCCGAGUUCCCUGGAACGGGACGCC
rnacentral:rRNA from 1 species